rnacentral:rRNA from 1 species
GAUCACAUUAUGUGACAUAUCAUUCAAGUUUCUGACCUAUCAGCUUUAGACGGUAGGGUAUUGGCCUACCGUGGCUAUGACGGGUAACGGGGAAUUAGGGUUCGAUUCCGGAGAGGGAGCCUGAGAAACGGCUACCACAUCUAAGGAAGGCAGCAGGCGCGCAAAUUACCCAAUCCUAAUACAGGGAGGUAGUGACAAGAAAUAACAAUACAGAACCUUACGGUUUUGUAAUUGGAAUGAGUUAAGUAUAAACCCCUUAACAAGUAUCAAUUGGAGGGCAAGUCUGGUGCCAGCAGCCGCGGUAAUUCCAGCUCCAAUAGCGUAUAUUAAAGUUGUUGCAGUUAAAAAGCUCGUAGUUAAUCUUCUGUUAAUUUUUAUAUAUAAUAUUUCGAUAUUUAUAUAAUAUUAACAUAAUUCAUAUUACUUUUUAGUAUAUGAAACUUUACUUUGAGAAAAUUAGAGUGCUUAAAGCAGGCUAUUGCCUUGAAUACUCCAGCAUGGAAUAAUAUUAAGGAUUUUUAUUCUUCUUAUUGGUUCUAGAAUAAAAAUGAUGAUUAAUAGGAACAGUUGGGGGCAUUUGUAUUUAACAGUCAGAGGUGAAAUUCUUAGAUUUGUUAAAGACAAACUACUGCGAAAGCAUUUGCCAAGGAUGUUUUCAUUAUUCAAGAACGAAAGUUAGGGGAUCGAAGACGAUCAGAUACCGUCGUAGUCUUAACCAU